rnacentral:tRNA from 1 species
GCGGGUAUAGUUGAGUGGCUCAAUGCCACCUUCCCAAGGUGGAGACACGGGUUCAAUUCCCGUUACCCGCUCCA